rnacentral:sRNA from 2 species
CUAAGGAGUAAAGGGGAGUAGCGUCAGGGAAACCUGAAACAAAGUCGUCAUUCCAUGGAUUCUGUCCAUCGGCUUUGUUGGCAUAACGAGUUUAUUUAUGCU